UUGGGUUUCGGUCUGGGAGUAGUUUUUUUGGGUUACAUGAACCCUUUAAUACAAAACGGGCUAAAUUAUUAAGCUGGUCAUUUUCUAGGUAUUGGGCAUCAUCUAGGUUCUCUUACCCAAGGCCCAUCCGCCGCCCAUUUUUCCAUUUUCAUCUCACUUUCCCUACUCCUUACCCUUGGCAUGCGCUCAAAAUACUCACAGUAAGUAUACAUUUUCUCUAGAGACAGACACAACAUCAUUUCAAAAUUUUAAGGUGAUUUUGGAAGGUGUAAACGUUUACUUUGCUUUUCUUUAUCAAUCUCAUGUAAAGGCAUGAUUUGGCCACAAUUAUUGAUACACUUGCGUAAAUAAUUUAAUUAAAUCAAUUGAAAAUAAUCUCAAUCCUCACCCUUAAUAUUAAAAAAAAAAAUUUUUGGGACAUGACCAAUUUCUGGCCGUAAGUUAUACCUACAAAAAGUGGAAAAUGAAAUGAUUUGAUUGAGACUUAAUGAUGUUUGAUGCUAUCAUAAUAGACACGGUUAAGAAUUUAAUUCCGGAUUAAUGAAGAAACGUGCAAAAGCAAUCUUGUCUAUACUAUAGGGCUAAAAAGCCUAAACCUCACGCACAUGGCCAUUGGAAAACACAAGGGUCACGCCAUGGUGGACCCUUUCCUGACUCUUUCUCCACCAAGUAUUUGUGAACAAAAUUUUGAAUUGCUUUCUCUUUGUGAAACCAUAACCCACUUGAAAAUAAUGUAUUGUUAGACAUAAAAAUUCUUCCACAUUUGACCGUUGAAACAUAGGAGUAGGUGGGAAACUUGUCAAACAGAUAUUAUGAAAUGAGGUUUUAAUUUGAUAGUCUUUUUAUUGAUUGAUAUUUAUACAAUUGUUUUUCAAAUUGGAUCCCAACAAUUAAGUGAUUAAUCAAUACAAAAUUCAACUACACCAAUCUGUUCUCUUGGAUCGUUUGACAAGGUAAAUUGUCACAUGGUUAAAUGAAGAAGAUUUAAUUUUAAUAAAAAUCUUUUGUUGCAAUGGACCUAAUGUUCUUGUUUUACGUUUCUUAAAUUUAUUGACUGAUCAUAAUUUUUUUUUUUAAAUGGUCAAAAAGAAAUCAAGUCGGUGCACUUGUACUAGGAAACCAAAAGGUCCAGUCUACAACUGUUCAACUUAUUCAGAUGCAAUGGAUCGAAUAAAAAUAUAGCAUAUUCUCAUUACGAGAAAACAAAUAAGGAGUAGAGCUAGUCAAUUUCGCCGUGCUUGAUGCGGACGUGAUUUGCUCUAAGAAGAAAUAUAUGCAGUCUAAUUUGGUUAAGAAAUCAGAAGGGAAAAAGAUCUUGAUGGCUUACUUCAUCUUCAAAUUCUCAUUUAAGAAAAGAAAAACAAUUUUCUAUUAGAUAAAAAUUUAUUUUUAAUACAUUGAUCGUAUUUACUGUCAGUAUAUAUGAUAAUCUUUUUAUUAAAUAAAAAAUGGUAUUCAUUUGACUUUAUUUUUCAUUAUGAAUAUUAAAAAAACUUUUCAAAGGAAAUGUUAGAUGGUUCUGAAUUACAUGAUAUCCCGGAAAACAGGUCAUCAAAAUUAAAUUAAUUUGAUAAAAGAAGUCCAAUCUGAACAAAAUAAAAUAAGGAGGAGCUCUUACAUGUUUUAGCUGGUAAUUUUAUAGUAUUCUAGUUUUGGCAGCGAAUCUAAACAAUUUCUACCUUUCAUUUGUCAUGG
rnacentral:lncRNA from 1 species